AAACACGAUAGUUAAUGUGAAUUGCAGAAUUCAGUGAAUCAUCAAGUCUUUGAAUGUAUAUUGCGCCUAUUGGUAUUCCUUUAAACAUAUCUAUUUAAACGUCAUUACAACCUUUAGCUAACCGUUGUUUUUAAACUUGAACGGGUAACAUUGUACCGAUUUUAAAGUUGUAAACUCUGCUAACUACUCUGCUUAACCAGAAUAUAGUAAGCACUACUUAUCCGAAUAAAACUAAACAAUACAGCUUAAAUAAAACUUACUUAUUCUCAAAAUUUGAUUAUAGAUUAGACAAAAAUAUUUGCUGAACUUAAGU
rnacentral:misc_RNA from 1 species